GGGCCCGUGGGGUAGCUUGGAUAUCCUAGGGGACUUCGGAUCCCCGGACCUGGGUUCGAAUCCCAGCGGGCUCG
rnacentral:tRNA from 1 species